rnacentral:rRNA from 1 species
AGGUGCUGCAUGGUUGUCGUCAGCUCGUGCCGUGAGGUGUCGGUUAAGUCCCAUAACGAGCGCAACCCUACCUUUAGUUGCCAUCAGGUAAUGCUGGGGACGUCUAAAGGAACUGCCUACGCAAGUAGUGAGGAAGGCGGGGAUGACGUCAAAUCAGCACGGCCCUUACGUCCAGGGCUACACACGUGCUACAAUGGCCGAUACAGAGGGCAGCUACCUGGUGACAGGAUGCAAAUCUCCAAAGUCGGUCUCAGUUCGGAUCGGAGUCUGCAACCCGACUCCGUGAAGUUGGAUUCGCUAGUAAUCGCGCAUCAGCCAUGGCGCGGUGAAUACGUUCCCGGGCCUU